UCCCUGCUGGGUCAGACUGUAAAGAAUCUGCCUGUAAUGCAAGAGACCCAGGUUCGAUCCCUGGGUAGGGAA
rfam:Ovis aries breed Texel chromosome 4, whole genome shotgun sequence.